GUAAAUGAGGCCCUGGGUGUGUAUAUUAUGGGUUGAGGGGGUGAUUGUCUCACAUUGUGUACACAAGUGUUUUAAAACAAAAGGGGCUAUCAACCAAAUCUCACACACACCCUGCCAGGCCAAGACAUUCUAAGACUUAAUUAGCAUGUGAAAUGACAUAGUGUUACCCUGAGAACAGAGAGAUAGCCUACGGUUGAAUCAUGAGCCACCUUGUCAAAUCUUGUCACAUGCCAAUCAUGGUGGCAGGGGGGUCAUAAAUAAAUCAAAACAUUGACACGUGUCAAUCAUAAUUACCUGGGGGUCAUACAUCAAUCACAGUUUUGACAGUUAGUGAAUUAUAAAACUACUGGCGUCAUUUACAUCUAGAUGCUUGGGACAUGUCCCAACCACUUUUGCAUUUUGCAUUUUGUGUAUUCCUAUAUCAUACAUUCCAUAUCAUGAUAUUUAUUUUGUUUAUCUGGCAUUUCACAUAAUCUUUCCUCUUAGAAGACUUCCAGAAUCUUGUAUGUUUAUGGCUAUCAACAUCCUUAAGUGAAAGGACUGCAUAUUUACCUACUUUACCUGGGACUUCAUGUUCUGAAUCAUCGAUCUCAAUGAUCUCAAGAUGAUUGGUCCUUGACUCUGGUUCCUCCACAAUAUCUUGCACCCCUUUUACUUCUGAAUGAUGUCAAAAGUAAUUGCAUUAUUUAAUUUCUCACCACAAAAAAACAACGAUGAAUUAACGUUUCAAAUUAUGAUUUUUUUUUUUUUUGUUAUUCAUUCAACAUGUAAAAACAACGGAGUGGAAUGUCUGUUUGUGUUUCGGCCUCUGUGAUUCUGCCCACUGCCCAUUUCUGCAGUACCAUUUUGACACCCUGGGUUGCCAGAUAAGAACGGGAACAGCGUGCAACCUCCAUAUUUUCAAGAGAAUGUUGAGAACACACAACUGUGGACGCUGACGGACUGAUCAGGAAUUACACUGUGGACUGUGCUCCAUUCUGCUGUGGUUGUAAAUGGACUUUAGAUAGAUAGAUGGUGUACCUUUACAGUUUUUCUCAAUUGCUUACACACAUUUUUUGAAAGCAUACCUCAUUUUCUCAAAACUCUAAACACAAAU